rnacentral:rRNA from 1 species
UUCCCGGUUGUCCUGCGGACCCCUUUGCUAUCGGGGUGGGACUAAGACAUGCGAGUCGUACGCCUCCCAGCCGCCGGGGGAGGCGUGGCGAACGGCUCCGUAACACGUGGCUAACCUGCCCUUGGGACGGGGAUAACCCCGGGAAACUGGGGCUAAUCCCCGAUAGGUGAGGAUGCCUGGAAUGGUUCCUCACCGAAAGGGCGCCGGAACCGUGCUUCCGGCGUCGCCCAAGGAUGGGGCCGCGGCCGAUCAGGUUGUUGGUGGGGUAACGGCCCACCAAGCCGAUAACCGGUACGGGCCGUGAGAGCGGGAGCCCGGAGAUGGGCACUGAGACAUGAGUCCAGGCCCUACGGGGCGCAGCAGGCGCGAAAACUUCACAAUGCGCGAAAGCGUGAUGAGGGAACCCCAAGUGCUGGCUCGAAAGAGUCAGCUGUUUCCCUGCCUAAAAAGCAGGGAGAGUAAGGGCUGGGUAAGACGGGUGCCAGCCGCCGCGGUAAUACCUGCAGCCCGAGUGGUGGCCGCUAUUAUUGGGCCUAAAACGUCCGUAGCCGGCCUAGUAAAUGCCUGGGUAAAUCGUGAGGCUUAACCUCACGAAUCCUGGGUAGACUGCUAGGCUUGAGACCGGGCGAGGCUGGAGGUACUCCAGGGGUAGGGGUGAAAUCCUGUAAUCCCUGGAGGACGACCAGUGGCGAAGGCGUCCAGCCAGAACGGGUCUGACGGUGAGGGACGAAGCCCUGGGGCGCAAACGGGAUUAGAUACCCCGGUAGUCCAGGGUGUAAACGCUGCUCGCUUGAUGUUAGGUAGGCUUCGAGCCUACCUAGUGUCGGAGAGAAGUCGUUAAGCGAGCUGCCUGGGGAGUACGGCCGCAAGACGGAAACUUAAAGGAAUUGGCGGGGGAGCACAGCAACGUAUGAGAGGUGCGGUUCAAUUGGAUCAACGCCGGAGAU